rnacentral:rRNA from 1 species
GAUGAACGCUGGCGGCGUGCCUAAUACAUGCAAGUCGAGCGAACGGACGAGAAGCUUGCUUCUCUGAUGUUAGCGGCGGACGGGUGAGUAACACGUGGAUAACCUACCUAUAAGACUGGGAUAACUUCGGGAAACCGGAGCUAAUACCGGAUAAUAUUUUGAACCGCAUGGUUCAAAAGUGAAAGACGGUCUUGCUGUCACUUAUAGAUGGAUCCGCGCUGCAUUAGCUAGUUGGUAAGGUAACGGCUUACCAAGGCAACGAUGCAUAGCCGACCUGAGAGGGUGAUCGGCCACACUGGAACUGAGACACGGUCCAGACUCCUACGGGAGGCAGCAGUAGGGAAUCUUCCGCAAUGGGCGAAAGCCUGACGGAGCAACGCCGCGUGAGUGAUGAAGGUCUUCGGAUCGUAAAACUCUGUUAUUAGGGAAGAACAUAUGUGUAAGUAACUGUGCACAUCUUGACGGUACCUAAUCAGAAAGCCACGGCUAACUACGUGCCAGCAGCCGCGGUAAUACGUAGGUGGCAAGCGUUAUCCGGAAUUAUUGGGCGUAAAGCGCGCGUAGGCGGUUUUUUAAGUCUGAUGUGAAAGCCCACGGCUCAACCGUGGAGGGUCAUUGGAAACUGGAAAACUUGAGUGUAGAAGAGGAAAGUGGAAUUCCAUGUGUAGCGGUGAAAUGCGCAGAGAUAUGGAGGAACACCAGUGGCGAAGGCGACUUUCUGGUCUGUAACUGACGCUGAUGUGCGAAAGCGUGGGGAUCAAACAGGAUUAGAUACCCUGGUAGUCCACGCCGUAAACGAUGAGUGCUAAGUGUUAGGGGGUUUCCGCCCCUUAGUGCUGCAGCUAACGCAUUAAGCACUCCGCCUGGGGAGUACGACCGCAAGGUUGAAACUCAAAGGAAUUGACGGGGACCCGCACAAGCGGUGGAGCAUGUGGUCUAAUUCGAAGCAACGCGAAGAACCUUACCAAAUCUUGACAUCCUUUGACAACUCUAGAGAUAGAGCCUUCCCCUUCGGGGGACAAAGUGACAGGUGGUGCAUGGUUGUCGUCAGCUCGUGUCGUGAGAUGUUGGGUUAAGUCCCGCAACGAGCGCAACCCUUAAGCUUAGUUGCCAUCAUUAAGUUGGGCACUCUAAGUUGACUGCCGGUGACAAACCGGAGGAAGGUGGGGAUGACGUCAAAUCAUCAUGCCCCUUAUGAUUUGGGCUACACACGUGCUACAAUGGACAAUACAAAGGGCAGCGAAACCGCGAGGUCAAGCAAAUCCCAUAAAGUUGUUCUCAGUUCGGAUUGUAGUCUGCAACUCGACUACAUGAAGCUGGAAUCGCUAGUAAUCGUAGAUCAGCAUGCUACGGUGAAUACGUUCCCGGGUCU